rnacentral:rRNA from 1 species
GACGAACGCUGGCGGCGUGCUUAACACAUGCAAGUCGAACGGAAAGGCCCUGCUUUUGUGGGGUGCUCGAUUGGCGAACGGGUGAGUAACACGUGCGUAACCUGCACUUGACUUUGGGAUAACUUCAGGAAACUGGGGCUCAUACCGGAUAGGAGCUCCUGCUGCAUGGUGGGGGUUGGUAAGUUUCGGCGGUUGGGGAUGGACUCGCGGCUUAUCAGCUUGUUGGUGGGGUAGGGGCUUACCAAGGCUUUGACGGGUAGCCGGCCUGAGAGGGUGACCGGCCACAGUGGGACUGAGAUACGGCCCAGACUCCUACGGGAGGCAGCAGUGGGGAAUAUUGCACAAUGGGCGGAAGUCUGAUGCAGCAACGCCGCGUGCGGGAUGACGGCCUUCGGGUUGUAAACCGCUUUCGCCUGUAACGAAGCGUGAUUGACGGUAAUGGAUAAAGAAGCACCGGCUAACUACGUG